AAAGUCAUGGAUGCACCCUUUGACUUCACUGUUACUGAUAUGCCAUCGUUGAGAAAAUGGUGGUAUAUCAUGCUGAUUGAAAAUCUUGGCCUUGGAAGCCAUGGCAAACUCUUUGCCCACUGGACUGACACAUCUAAGGCUCUUCUUCGGGGUGAGGUGCCACCAGUUUUUAAACUGAAGAAGAGAAGGCGAGAUGACAUUCAUGAGGGGCCACUUGACAACAUUGUGGCUGGAGUUGCCUGGCUGCGUCAGAAUGCAGGUUUGCUCAGGGGGAAGGUGGUUGAGCCCACAUUUCCGAAUAUGGACGCAAAAGAACAGCAGGAGCUCCUGGAAAGGAUACGUUCUUCAACUGAUGAAGAAGAAAAGUAUCCCUUGCUCUUCACAUUUGAUUUUCAGGAAGACAUGGAGGUCUUCCUUAACAUGGCAGCUGAGGAGGAUCUUCGGGUCAACGCCAUGUUUCUGGGUCGCUGGGUGGACAGCCAGUGACAUUGCUGUGUGUGUGUGUGUGUGUGUGUGUGUGUGUGUGUGUGUGUG